GUCCUUUAGAUAUUAAUUUAAGGUCUAACCUGCCCACUGAAAUAUUUUAAAUGGCCGCAGUAAUUUGACUGUGCAAAGGUAGCAUAAUCAUUAGUUUUUUAAUUAAAAGCUUGUAUGAAAGGUUGGACGAAGUAAAAUCUGUCUCUAAUUAAAUUAGUUUAGAAUUUAACUUUUAAGUUAAAAGGCUUAAAUUUAACUAAAAGACGAGAAGACCCUAUAGAUCUUUAUAUUUUUAUUAUUAAAUUUAAUUAAGAAUUUUUAAAAUUUUAUUAAUUUAAAUAUUUUAUUGGGGUAAUAUAAAGAUUAAAAUAAUUCUUUUUUUUUAUUAACAUUAAUUUAUGAUUUUAUGAUCCAAUUAUAUUGAUUUUAAGAUUAAGUUACCUUAGGGAUAACAGCGUAAUUUUUUUAGAGAGUUCUUAUCGAUAAAAAAGUUUGCGACCUCGAUGUUGGAUUAAAGAUUAUUUUAGGUGCAGAAGUUUAAAAAUUUUGGUCUGUUCGACCAUUAAAUCUUUACAUGAUCUGAGUUCAGACCGGUGUAAGCCAGGUCGGUUUCUAUCUUUAGUGAAUUAAAAUAUUUCAGUACGAAAGGACCAAUUAUUUAAUAUAAAUAUUUAUAUUUUGAUUAUUAUUAA
rnacentral:rRNA from 1 species